rnacentral:rRNA from 1 species
GAUGAACGCUGGCGGCGUGCCUAAUACAUGCAAGUCGAGCGAACAGACGAGGAGCUUGCUCCUCUGACGUUAGCGGCGGACGGGUGAGUAACACGUGGAUAACCUACCUAUAAGACUGGGAUAACUUCGGGAAACCGGAGCUAAUACCGGAUAAUAUAUUGAACCGCAUGGUUCAAUAGUGAAAUACGGUUUUUCUGUCUCUUAUAGAUGGAUCCGCGCCGCAUUAGCUAGUUGGUAAGGUAACGGCUUACCAAGGCGACGAUGCGUAGCCGACCUGAGAGGGUGAUCGGCCACACUGGAACUGAGACACGGUCCAGACUCCUACGGGAGGCAGCAGUAGGGAAUCUUCCGCAAUGGGCGAAAGCCUGACGGAGCAACGCCGCGUGAGUGAUGAAGGUCUUCGGAUCGUAAAACUCUGUUAUUAGGGAAGAACAAAUGUGUAAGUAACUAUGCACGUCUUGACGGUACCUAAUCAGAAAGCCACGGCUAACUACGUG